rnacentral:rRNA from 1 species
CGGGGAGGCGGCAAAUAUCCUUUGAUCCGGAGAUGUCUGAAUGGGGGAACCCACCUACUUUAAGGUAGGUAUUGCAACAUGAAUACAUAGUGUUGCAAGGCGAACGAGGGGAAGUGAAACAUCUCAGUACCCUUAGGAAAAGAAAUCAAUUGAGAUUCCCUCAGUAGCGGCGAGCGAACGGGGAUCAGCCCCUUAAGUUAUGUGUGUUUUAGUGGAACGCUCUGGGAAGUGCGAACGUAGAGGG